GACGUAGGGUCCAAGCGUUGUCCGGAUUUACUGGGCGUAAAGAGCGCGUAGGCGGCUUGUUAAGUGUGAAGUGAAAUCUCCAGGGCUCAACCCGGAAACUGCUUUACAUACUGGCAAGCUGGAGUGAUGCAGAGGUUUGUGGAAUUCCUGGUGUAACGGUGAAAUGUGUUGAUAUCAGGAGGAACACCGGUGGCGAAGGCGGGUCUCUGGGCCGUAACUGACGCUGAGGAGCGAAAGCAUGGGGAGCGAACAGG
rnacentral:rRNA from 1 species